UGCUUCAUGCUUUGUGUGUGUGGU
rnacentral:siRNA from 1 species